AGGGGAAUAAGCUUAGUGGUAGAGUGCCUGCUUAGCAUGCAUGACAUCCUGGGUUCAACCCCCAGCACCUUCA
rnacentral:tRNA from 1 species